rnacentral:rRNA from 1 species
UACGGAGGGAGCUAGCGUUAUUCGGAAUUACUGGGCGUAAAGCGCACGUAGGCGGCUUUGUAAGUAAGAGGUGAAAGCCCAGAGCUCAACUCUGGAAUUGCCUUUUAGACUGCAUCGCUUGAAUCAUGGAGAGGUGAGUGGAAUUCCGAGUGUAGAGGUGAAAUUCGUAGAUAUUCGGAAGAACACCAGUGGCGAAGGCGACUCACUGGACACGUAUUGACGCUGAGGUGGCGAAAGCGUGGGGAGCAAACAGG